GCAGAGGCGGGGAAGGAGUCACGGGGCGCGCACGCCGGGGAAGACUACAAGGUGCAGAUUGAUGAGUAUGAUCACUCCAAGCCCAUCCAGGGGCAACAGAAGAAGCCCUUUGAGGUGCACUGGAGGAAGCACACCCUGUCCUAUGUGGACGUCGGCACUGGGAAGUGCACAGCCAGAGGACAACACAUCACACACAAGAAACAGUUGUGCUCAUGUGAUGGGGGCCUCAGCACUAGGAAGGAGUGGACUGUUGGCGCACGCAGCAGCUUGAAUAAAUCUGAAAGUCACUACGCUGCGUAAGAGAAGCCAAAUAAAGCGCAUGCUGUGUACAGAGGGUGUCGAGAAUGCCUCCUACGUGACGGAAAGCAGAUCCGUGGUUCCCUGCAGACUGGCAGGAGCAGAUUCCAAAGGCACAGGAAGAAGCUUGCAGCUUCUCAGAUGACCAAGAUGGUGCUGCAGAUGGUGCUGAGGAUGGAGAACCCACCAAGCC
rnacentral:lncRNA from 10 species